rnacentral:rRNA from 1 species
UGAGCAAUCUGCCCUUCUCAUCGGAAUAAGCGUUGGAAACGACGUCUAAUGCCGAAUAUGACCUCCUUUCGCGUGAUCGGAGGUGGAAAGCUCCGGCGGAGAAGGAUGAGCUCGCGGCCUAUCAGCUAGUUGGUGUGGGUAAUGGCCCACCAAGGCGACGACGGGUAGCCGGCCUGAGAGGGUGACCGGCCACACUGGAACUGAGACACGGCCCAGACUCCUACGGGAGCAG